CUACGGGUUGCUGCAGUCGAGGAAAUUCUACAAUGCUCGAAAGAGUGAUAGAAUGAGUCAGAGUGUUUCUUUUAGAGAAACUUUUUUCUGUUGUAAAAAGACAGAAGAAUAAGGACUGGGAAAGACCGGUGCCAGCCGCCGCGGUAAUACCGGCGGUCCGAGUCGCAUCCACAUUUAUUGGGUCUAAAACAUCCGUAGCUUGUUUUGUGAGUCUCUUGUGAAAUCUGAUAUCUUAAAUAUCAGGCGUGCAAGAGAUACUACAUCACUAGAGACCGGAAGGCGCAAAGAGUAUGAUUAAGGUAGCGGUAAAAUGUGUUAAUCUUAAUUAGACUAACAAUUAGCGAAGGCACUUUGCGAGUACGGAUCUGACAGUGAGGGAUGAAGGCUAGGGGCGCAAAAGGGAUUAGAUACCCGAGUAGUC
rnacentral:rRNA from 1 species